rnacentral:rRNA from 1 species
CAAUAGCGUAUAUUAAAGUUGUUGCGGUUAAAAAGCUCGUAGUUGGAUUUCUGCCGAGGACGACCGGUCCGCCCUCUGGGUGUGUAUCUGGUUUGGCCUGGGCAUCUUCUUGGAGAACGUAGCUGCACUUGACUGUGUGGUGCGGUGUCCAGGGCUUUUACUUUGAGGAAAUUAGAGUGUUUCAAGCAGGCGCACGCCUUGAAUACAUUAGCAUGGAAUAAUAAGAUAGGACCUCGGUUCUAUUUUGUUGGUUUCUAGAGCUGAGGUAAUGAUUAAUAGGGAUAGUUGGGGGCAUUCGUAUUUAACUGUCAGAGGUGAAAUUCUUGGAUUUAUUAAAGACGGACUACUGCGAAAGCAUUUGCCAAGGAUGUUUUCAUUGA